rnacentral:ncRNA from 1 species
GAUUUCUUGCCGCCGGGUAAGUAUAAGCGCUGGUUUCGUAUCGUUAGGCCAUGAAGAUACGAGACGGGCGCUUAUUUUUUU